UACGUAGGGGGCUAGCGUUGCUCGGAAUCACUGGGCGUAAAGGGUGCGUAGGCGGGUUUUUAAGUCCGGGGUGAAAUCCUGGAGCUCAACUCCAGAACUGCCUUUGAUACUGAAGAUCUUGAGUCCGGGAGAGGUGAGUGGAACUGCGAGUGUAGAGGUGAAAUUCGUAGAUAUUCGCAAGAACACCAGUGGCGAAGGCGGCUCACUGGCCCGGUACUGACGCUGAGGCACGAAAGCGUGGGGAGCAAACAGG
rnacentral:rRNA from 1 species